CCUCUGCAGUCUCUGACUGUUCUUGGGUCUCUGCUGUUGGAGAGAUGGAACCCCACACAGGAGUGAUUGCCCACCCCUGGGGAGGUCACUCAUACUGACAGGAGGUGCUGGUGUUGUACAAAUACCUCUGAUCAAAGCCUAAAAACAAGUUACCAGAAUUUUACUCCUAGCUUUUAAAGGAAACAAUAAAGGAGCACGAUGAUUAUAACAAGACAAAAGGCAGUGAAAGCACCGAAUGGAGUGUGGGCAGCUUCCCUGGCAACAGAAAACAAAGAUGACAUUGAUGCCCAAAUAACCCAUCUCUGCCACACAGAACUUAAUAUCGAUCUCAAAAACAGUGAAGUUGCAACGGCACUGAGCGCAUAGGCAAGGUUUGGCUAGACGUUGAGAGAAGCGGACUAGCGGGAGGAGAGAACCAACG
rnacentral:lncRNA from 1 species